AUCAUGUUGAAACACCAGUUAGCGUAUGAUCACGGAAUUUAAGCAACGUCGGACCUGGUCAGUACCUAGAUGGGUGACUGCUUGGGAAUACCAGGUGCUGUAGGC